rnacentral:ncRNA from 2 species
AGAACUGAUUGUUCGACAGGUGGAAUGACGGAGUAACGCCCCGAAACGCCUGCUCUAAUCCUCCGAAUGGCAUGACGGUUAUCAAGAACUGGAUUGUCAUAAGCUCGGUGAAGUCGGCUGAGAGCACACCCUAAAGACGCAGAAAUGUGGCACAGGAACAGCGAACCAGAGGUGGUCGAGUGUGUGAUAGGCCGGGAGUCCA